rnacentral:rRNA from 1 species
UACGAAGGGGGCUAGCGUUGCUCGGAAUCACUGGGCGUAAAGCGCACGUAGGCGGCUUUCUAAGUCAGGGGUGAAAUCCUGGAGCUCAACUCCAGAACUGCCUUUGAUACUGAGAAUCUUGAGUACGGGAGAGGUGAGUGGAACUGCGAGUGUAGAGGUGAAAUUCGUAGAUAUUCGCAAGAACACCAGUGGCGAAGGCGGCUCACUGGCCCGUAACUGACGCUGAGGCACGAA